rnacentral:piRNA from 1 species
UGAUCUACUUCCAGGUCAGUGGGUGGAAC